rnacentral:rRNA from 1 species
AUUGAACGCUGGCGGCAGGCCUAACACAUGCAAGUCGAGCGCGCGGCGGACGGGUGAGAAAUGUCUGGGACACUGCCUGAUGGAGGGGGAAAACCACUGGAAACGGUAGCAUAUACCGUAUACUAUCAGAUGUGCCCAGAUGGGAUGAGCUAGUAGGUGGGGUAACGGCUCCUCUAGGCGACGAUCCCUAGCUGGUCUGAGAGGAUGACCAGCCACACUGGAACUGAGACACGGUCCAGACUCCUACGGGAGGCAGCAGUGGGGAAUAUUGCACAAUGGGCGCAAGCCUGAUGCAGCCAUGCCGCGUGUGUGAAGAAGGCCUUCGGGUUGUAAAGUACUUUCAGCGGGGAGGCGUUACCCGCAGAAGAAGCACCGGCUAACUCCGUGCCAGCAGCCGCGGUAAUAC